ACGGAAGGCAGCAGUGGGGAAUAUUGCACAAUGGGGGAAACCCUGAUGCAGCGACGCCGCGUGAGCGAUGAAGUAUUUCGGUAUGUAAAGCUCUAUCAGCAGGGAAGAUAAUGACGGUACCUGACUAAGAAGCCCCGGCUAACUACGUGCCAGCAGCCGCGGUAAUACGUAGGGGGCAAGCGUUAUCCGGAUUUACUGGGUGUAAAGGGAGCGUAGACGGCAUAACAAGUCUGAAGUGAAAUGCCAGGGCUCAACCCUGGAACUGCUUUGGAAACUGUUAAGCUUGAGUGCCGGAGAGGUAAGCGGAAUUCCUAGUGUAGCGGUGAAAUGCGUAGAUAUUAGGAGGAACACCAGUGGCGAAGGCGGCUUACUGGACGGUAACUGACGUUGAGGCUCGAAAGCGUGGGGAGCAAACAGGAUUAGAUACCCUGGUA
rnacentral:rRNA from 1 species